UUCGACAUGGUCUAGUGGUUAGGAUACCUCGCUUUCACCCAGGAGGACCGGCUUCGAAUUCCCGAUGUCGGAA